rnacentral:rRNA from 1 species
UUGGUUCUGGCAUCGAUGAAGAACGCAGCGAAAUGCGAUAAGUAGUGUGAAUUGCAGAAUUCAGUGAAUCAUCGAAUCUUUGAACGCACAUUGCGCCCCUUGGUAUUCCAUGGGGCAUGCCUGUUCGAGCGUCAUUUGUACCUUCAAGCUCUGCUUGGU